rnacentral:tRNA from 4 species
GGCGCUGUAAGGCAGUCUGGACGCCGUCAGGACUCAUGAUCCUGAAACCGUGGUUCAAAUCCACGCAGCGCCA